GCCUGUUUAACAAAAACAUCGCCUUUUAACAGUAUAAAAGGUUACUUCUGCUCAAUGCCUUUAGUAAAUAGCUGCAGUACUCUGACUGUACUAAGGUAGCAUAAUAACUUGGCCCUUAAUUGGGGUCUGGAAUGAAUGAAUUCACGAGAAACUAACUGUCUCUAUUAUAGUAUAUGAAUUUUAUUUUUAAGUAAAAAAGCUUAAUUGUGAUGGAGGGACGACAAGACCCUAUAGAUCUUUACUACUUAAUAUAAUUUAUAUAUAUAUAUUGGGAAGGUUGUCUGGGAUGGACCUAAAAAAUGCUUAACUUUAGUUAAUUAAACAAUUAUAAUUUAAAUUGAAUGAUCCUUAUAAAGAUAAAAAGAGAAAGUUACCUUAGGGAUAACAGCACAAUUAUCACUAUUUAGACCAUUUAAAUAGUGAAGGUUGUGACCUCGAUGUUGAAUUAAGUUUACUGAUAAAUGCAGAAAGUUAUAAAGUUAGUCUGCUCGACUAUUUAAUACU
rnacentral:rRNA from 1 species